UACAGAGGCCUCGAGCGUUGUUCGGAAUUACUGGGCGUAAAGGGAAUGUAGGUGGUGACGUAAGUCAGAUGUGAAAGCCCUGGGCUUAACCUGGGAAGUGCAUUUGAUACUGCGUUGCUAGAGUACGAGAGAGGAAAGCGGAAUUCCCAGUGUAGGAGUGAAAUCCGUAGAUAUUGGGAGGAAUACCGAUGGCGAAGGCAGCUUUCUGGCUCGUAACUGACACUGAGAUUCGAAAGCGUGGGUAGCAAACAGG
rnacentral:rRNA from 1 species